ensembl:lincRNA AI849053 expressed sequence AI849053
AGAAUCAGCGUGGGGACUGAAUGAACAAAGAGAUGUGGUUCAGUCUUCCAAGUUCAUUAAAGUCCACGUAAAGGAACAGUGCAUGCUGUGGACAGGCCACAGGUGCUCUGCGUGGAAGAGUGAAGUGUGGGAGCACCGAGCUCGAGUGUCUGUGGCCGUGAGAGGUGGUCCAUCGCUGACCUGCUCUUUCCUGCUACUCCCAGAGGAUGCUGCAGUAUGUGGUACCUAGGUCUCCGAAAGAGUCCUGACCCUGAAGUGGGGAGGAGAGAAAAAUCAAAGAGCCCUGGCGAGGGAGCAAGGGGAUGAAAGAGAUGAGACAGAGAUUUGGGGGAGACACCCGGAAACAGACUGAAAAACAAAACAAACAAAAACAAAACCCAGAACAUCUACCUGGAAAGAAAUAAAACAUUAAAACAAGAGACAGGAAUGCUAAAUGAAGCAAGAAGAAAGACUAUCAAAGACAGGUUUGCGUUAGAACUCCACGCAGGAAGCCCGGCAGGGAGGGGUAGAGAGGACAGGCGACACACCUGCGAGCCUCUUGGGGCGCGGCGGGAGCCGGAUGAGCCUGGCUGCUCUCUCGCUCGCUCGCUCGCUCGCUCGCUCGCUCGCUCUACCCCAAGACCUCGCUCAGACGAAGAGCGCCAAUUGCCGCCCCAGUCCACCGCGCUGUGGGGCGCAGGGAAGGCCGGCCGAAGGCUUGAACCCUCGGCCGGCUGCGUGGAGUCCCGCGAUGUCCCGGCGAUGACAGGGUGGCUUGGCCCCAGGAGAAAGACGCGGGGCCGGGAGCGCCGCCACUCCCGCGCUUUCGUCUCCAGCGGCCCGGUUCUCCCGGACGCUGAGCCCCCCGCGGCGGGUCCGUCCGCACCCCAAGACUAGGGCUGGGCGAGCGGAUCCGGGGACUGGCUCUGCGAGCUUGCCCGGGGUCCGAAAUCGCCGACAGCGUCCCGGGCACGGCAGGUCGAUCUCCGGCCGCGCCGAGAGAUCUGGCCCGCAGGCGAGCAACCAGAACUGUAGUGUUGGGUCAUUUCAUUUUCCUCGAACCCCUAGCAACUCUUCGGGCCCUCCGGGUCUUUGCUGCGCCCGCGGCGGGCUCGUGGCCACUCUCCCAGGGUCUGGGCAGAGGUUCCCGCAGCCCUGCCCGGAAGAAAGCAAUGAAUAAAUGCGACUCGCGGGCUAGUUCACCGAAGACCAAGCCUGAGCUGGUGGGUCAGUGGACCUGUUCCCAGAAAGUUCUGGACCUCGUCAAAACGGCGGAUGUUAGCGCGGGUGGGUGUGGGUCACCCCUUGCUGCUGCUGGGAGCUCAGGGGGACCCAAGGGCGCCGGGCAGGUGACUGGGUGGGAAGGGCACGGACUGCCGCGCUGGGUGGCUCAGACCCUUUCCUAAGGGGACAAAACAGAGGGAGAAAGCGGCUUCCAGGGAUGGUGGCAGAAGACUCCAGAGCCUGCUGGCUGAGCUCUUUUUACUCGCUCAGGAAUGUAGUGUGGCUUUUCCGUUCGGUAUGGCUGGCAUGUGUAGGGUUGGGUGAAUUGACUGUCCCUUGCCACCCCUCCUCCCGAUCUGUACCCCGCUUCUGAACUGGUCAACUUCUCCCAGAGAAAUAGAUACACGGCAUUCUCUCUCUCUCUCUCUCUCUCUCUCUCUCUCUCUCUCUCUAAAUGAUAUGAAACAAAACAAUUCACACUACACUGAAAUAGCCUGACAUAAAAAGAUAUCUCUGCCUGAGCUAUCUCUUAGAAUUGACACUCUCUAAAAAAAAAAGAGAGAGAGAGAGGGUAUUUUUGUUUGUUUUUCUUCAGAGCUGUGCUGGGGCAGACUUGCUAGGCAAGCACUCUGCAUGUGAGCCACAGGCCCAACCCAGCCUGUUGUACCUUCUACUUGAAAUUGAGUUACUUUUUAUGUUCACCACCAGCAGCAGCAAGAAUAUUAUGUUGACAGUUUUGCUUGUUGCUCUGGAUAGCCUUGAACUCACAGCAAUCCUCCUGGCUCAAUAAUUUGUAUUUCUUAAUAAUUUGUAGUUUCUUUCCUCCUCCUCCUCCUCCUCCUCCUGAGAACUGGGAAGAUGCUACAUAUUUUGAUUGUGCUUUUUUUUUUUUUUUGAUAAUGUCCAUAUAGCCCAGGCAUGCCUCAAAUUCCUUAUAUAGUCAUGAUGGUUAACCUUCAACUUUUCAUCCUCCUGCCUCUACCUUCCGAAUGCUGGAAUUACAGGAACAGGGCACUGUGUUUAGCUCUAUGCUUUUAUUUUUAAUAGUCAAAAUAAAAUAUAUAAGUGUAAUUAAAUUCAUUCAGAUCCCUGUCCAGGAACAGAUGAAACAAUAAACUGAGAAGUGUAGAGCAGAUGUGGUGGUGUAUGCUUGUAAUUCUAGCACUGGAGAGACAGACACAGGAAGGUAGUUAACAAAUUUGAGGACAGCCUGGUCUAAAUAGCACAUUCUAGGCUUAAAGGACAUAGGGAGACCUUGUCUUAAAUAAACAAAAUAAAUAGAAGUUUGGAAAAUAACUUAAAUGCUGAAAUAAAUAAACAAGAUGUUGUUCAGUAAA